UCCACGCCGUAAACGAUGAGUACUAAGUGUUGGAGAAAUUCAGUGCUGUAGUUAACGCAAUAAGUACUCCGCCUGAGUAGUACGUGCGCAAGCAUGAAACUCAAAGGAAUUGACGGGACCCCGCACAAGCGGUGGAUCAUGUUGUUUAAUUCGAUGAUACGCGAAGAACCUUACCAGGUCUUGACAUCCCAUGCAAAGCUAUAGAGAUAUAGUGGAGGUUAUCAUGGAGACAGGUGGUGCAUGGUUGUCGUCAGCUCGUGUCGUGAGAUGUUGGGUUAAGUCCCGCAACGAGCGCAACCCUUAUUGCUAGUUACCAUCAUUAAGUUGGGGACUCUAGCGAGACUGCCAGUGAUAAACUGGAGGAAGGUGGGGAUGACGUCAAAUCAGCAUGCCCCUUAUGACCUGGGCUACAAACGUGAUACAAUGGCUGAAACAAAGGGCAGCGAAGCAGUGAUGUGAAGCGAAACCCAAAAAAGCAAGUCUCA
rnacentral:rRNA from 1 species